rnacentral:lncRNA from 1 species
UAUGAUUGAUUAAGAAAAGGGUGAUUAUGAACCAAAGGCCACGAUAAUUGAGCUAUGUGAUUGGCCGCUUUACAUUAUGAAUGUUUGGGUUUUAGUAGUGUAGAUUUGAAUGUAAUUUGAUUAAUUCAAGUUGUUGUAAAUGGACAUAAGUCCAUCAUUUGAUUUGUGUUGUAAAAGGGCAUAAGCCCUUACUAUUAUUAUUUCAUGUAUUCCUUUUGUUUAAUUGUAUGCAAAUGGAAUAGUUGGGUCCAACGCCCAAUAGGAAAUAACGGUUUAAUUGGAUUAAACGCGUAACUAAAAUCAACAACUAUCUACCUUAAACCCAAGGUCCAACACAAGGCUCGUGUUGGAUCAAAUCAAUCGGUUCAUAAUCAUCCUAAAACCUAAUAUGACUAUAUAGUCCAUAUGAGGAUGCAAUGCAUUCGUUAGUAGUUCCAUAUAGUCUCGCUUGUUUCAACGAAACAGUGGGAGUAUUAUAUGCUACUAAUUCAUAUUGACUUGGACCAAUAGUUGUGAUAGGCCCAAGUUCUUUUAAUGUGAUUAAAAUGUUUUGAUGUAGCCCAAAACUACUCCCUCAAAUCAAAUAUUAAGUUGAUAAGCGAGAGAUAUUUUGAACAUCUCUUCGUAGGCCUUCCACCGUGGUGGGUUCCAAGCGUUUGUGACUCAUGCACCGGCUUCACCCUAUCAUGGGGAAGUACAAAGCAUGUGCUUACAUCCAGGAGGAAUCCAUAUACAUAUGAUGAGGUGAGUGUAGGCAACGAGGAUAGCCGACAUCGUAUCAUCGUGAGGCUAUUCUUGAACCCCUAUA